AAUCUGUUCCCGAGCCUUGUACACACCGCCCGUCAAGCCACGGGAGCUGGGGGUACCCGAAGUCGCUAACCGAACCGCAAGGACGGGGGCGCCGACGGUAAAACCGGUGACUGGGACU
rnacentral:rRNA from 1 species